AUCUGUAGCUAUAACAUCUUGAAUAUGCCAGAUCUUGUCUGAUUUCAGGAGCUAAGCAGGGUUGGGAUGGUUGGGAUUCAGAUGGGAAACAGCACACACUCCUUCCUUCAUGUA
rnacentral:rRNA from 1 species